rnacentral:tRNA from 1 species
GUCCUUGUAGUAUAGCCUAAUACUCUGGUCUUGUAAACCAGGAACGGAGAAUACUCACUCCCUAGGACA